rnacentral:lncRNA from 1 species
GAAGUGUUUCUUUUAUCAAAAGGAAGGACACUGGAAAUGUAAUUAUGCUGAGUAUCUGAAAUCCUUGAAAAUCAAGGAAGGUGAAGGUACAAUUAUCUUUUGUGUUUUUUAGUCUUAUUUUUCAUUUGGUUCAUCAUCAUCUAAUUCUUGGGUGUUAGAUUCUGGUCCUAGUACUCAGGUUUGUAGUUCUAUGCAGGAUCUGGCAGUAAGUAGGAUCCUUAAG